rnacentral:lncRNA from 1 species
UUAUGACACAAGGCAGAAAGAAACAGUUGCUGCAGUGGUAGCACAAGCUUUGGGCCAAGAAAUGACUCAUGGAAGAAGAAACCAUGCUUUUGACCUUGUGUGGGAAUGUGGCAGCCUUUGGCUCCUAGCAACCUUUGUCUUCUCUGAAGAGUCAACCUCUCUGGUGGAUUCUAUAUAACUGCGGUCAAGAAGAAUCCACUAUCUACUCCCACAACCUUUCUUGUUUAAUUAUAACUCUAGGGUAAAGGAAAAAUCUAAUAGUUUUGUCUGUUUACUUAGCUCCAAACAAUUUAAAAUGUAUAAACUAUUUACAUCCUAACAACUUGGCUGCAGUUUGAAAAAAUACAUGAGAAUGAAGCGCUCAGAGGACAGAAUGCAGUGCGCCGAGGCCAGGAGAGAGGAGCAUUCUCCCCUCUGAAGGUCCUGGGGAUCUCAGAAAACAUGGAUGACAGAAGCACACAGCUUAGUCCUUUGGGGAGAGUGAACACAUCAGAAAAAGCCAGCAGCACUGAUCAAGCAGCACCUGCACAGACCUGCAGGAAACUGGAAGGAAUAGCAUCACCUUUCUUUGCUGCCUUGAUGUCCUGAAGUAUAAAGAAUUUAAGGCCCAAGAAAAAACAUAUAGAAC